rnacentral:rRNA from 1 species
AGAGUUUGAUCCUGGCUCAGGACGAACGCUGGCGGCACGCUUAACACAUGCAAGUCGAACGAGAGAAGAGGAGCUUGCUUUUCUGAUCUAGUGGCGGACGGGUGAGUAACACGUGAGCAAUCUGCCUUUCAGAGGGGGAUACCGAUUGGAAACGAUCGUUAAUACCGCAUAACAUAAUUGAACCGCAUGAUUUGAUUAUCAAAGAUUUAUCGCUGAAAGAUGAGCUCGCGUCUGAUUAGCUAGUUGGUAAGGUAACGGCUUACCAAGGCGACGAUCAGUAGCCGGACUGAGAGGUUGAUCGGCCACAUUGGGACUGAGACACGGCCCAGACUCCUACGGGAGGCAGCAGUGGGGAAUAUUGCACAAUGGAGGAAACUCUGAUGCAGCGAUGCCGCGUGAGGGAAGAAGGUUUUAGGAUUGUAAACCUCUGUCUUCAGGGACGAAAAAAGACGGUACCUGAGGAGGAAGCUCCGGCUAACUACGUGCCAGCAGCCGCGGUAAUACGUAGGGAGCGAGCGUUGUCCGGAAUUACUGGGUGUAAAGGGAGCGUAGGCGGGAUUGCAAGUCAGAUGCGAAAACUAUGGGCUUAACCCAUAAACUGCAUUUGAAACUGUGGUUCUUGAGUGAAGUAGAGGUAAGCGGAAUUCCUAGUGUAGCGGUGAAAUGCGUAGAUAUUAGGAGGAACAUCAGUGGCGAAGGCGGCUUACUGGGCUUUAACUGACGCUGAGGCUCGAAAGCGUGGGGAGCAAACAGGAUUAGAUACCCUGGUAGUCCACGCCGUAAACGAUGAUUACUAGGUGUGGGGGGACUGACCCCUUCCGUGCCGCAGCAAACGCAAUAAGUAAUCCACCUGGGGAGUACGACCGCAAGGUUGAAACUCAAAGGAAUUGACGGGGGCCCGCACAAGCAGUGGAGUAUGUGGAUUAAUUCGAAGCAACGCGAAGAACCUUACCAGGUCUUGACAUCGUAUGCAUAGCUCAGAGAUGAGUGAAAUCUCUUCGGAGACAUAUAGACAAGUGGUGCAUGGUUGUCGUCAGCUCGUGUCGUGAGAUGUUGGGUUAAGUCCCGCAACGAGCGCAACCCUUACUGUUAGUUGCUACGCAAGAGCACUCUAGCAGGACUGCCGUUGACAAAACGGAGGAAGGUGGGGAUGACGUCAAAUCAUCAUGCCCCUUAUGACCUGGGCCUCACACGUACUACAAUGGCUGUCAACAGAGGGAAGCAAAGCCGCGAGGUGGAGCGAACCCCUAAAAGCAGUCUUAGUUCGGAUUGUAGGCUGCAACCCGCCUACAUGAAGUCGGAAUUGCUAGUAAUCGCAGAUCAGCAUGCUGCGGUGAAUACGUUCCCGGGCCUUGUACACACCGCCCGUCACGCCAUGGGAGUCGGUAACACCCGAAGCCUGUAGUCUAACCGCAAGGAGGACGCAGUCGAAGGUGGGAUUGAUGACUGGGGUGAAGUCGUAACAAGGUA